rnacentral:rRNA from 1 species
CGCAUCUGUGCAUGCAGCAUAUCAAUAAGCGGAGGAAAAGAAACUAACAAGGAUUCCCCUAGUAACGGCGAGUGAAGCGGGAAGAGCUCAAAUUUGAAAUCUUAAAGGGUUUCCCUUACGAAUUGUAGUUUAAAGAAGUGUUUUCUGUUGAGGUUUUGGUAAAAGUUCUUUGGAAUAGGACAUCAUAGAGGGUGAGAAUCCCGUAUUUGACCUUUACUUUCAACUUUGUGAUACACUUUCAAAGAGUCGGAUUGUUUGGGAAUGCAGUCCAAAAUGGGUGGUAAAUUUCAUCUAAAGCUAAAUAUUGGCGAGAGACCGAUAGCGAACAAGUACCGUGAGGGAAAGAUGAAAAGAACUUUGAAAAGAGAGUUAAACAGUACGUGAAAUUGUCAAAAGGGAAGCGUUUGACACCAGUGUUGUUUUUCUGAAAAUCAAUUAAAGAACUGUUUAUGCUAAGCUGUUUAGACUUUAUCAGCUAUCUGUUUAGUUUUGAGCUUUUCUUUAAUGCACUUUUCAGUUAACAAGUCAACAUCAAUUUCUUUUGCUGUAAAAAAGCUUGAGGAAGGUGGCUUGAGAUUCGUCUUAAGUGUUUAUAGCCUCUUGCCUAUGCAGUCGGAGAGAUUGAGGUCUGCAGCGUAGAUCCUUCGGGGCUAAAUGCAUUUGUGCUAAGUUAUAGCAUUUUAUAGACAACUUGUUGACUAUGAUUUGUCUUGUAGCUUACUCGCUUAUGUUAUUUUACCUACGCUUAGGAUGUUGAGUCGUAGAGCACGCAG